rnacentral:rRNA from 1 species
GACGAACGCUGGCGGCGUGCUUAACACAUGCAAGUCGAACGGAAAGGCCCUGCUUUUGUGGGGUGCUCGAGUGGCGAACGGGUGAGUAACACGUGAGUAACCUGCCCUUGACUUUGGGAUAACUUCAGGAAACUGGGGCUAAUACCGGAUAGGAGCUCCUGCUGCAUGGUGGGGGUUGGAAAGUUUCGGCGGUUGGGGAUGGACUCGCGGCUUAUCAGCUUGUUGGUGGGGUAGUGGCUUACCAAGGCUUUGCCGGGUAGCCGGCCUGAGAGGGUGACCGGCCACAUUGGGACUGGGAUACGGCCCAGACUCCUACGGGAGGCAGCAGUGGGGAAUAUUGCACAAUGGGCGGAAGCCUGAUGCAGCAACGCCGCGUGCGGGAUGACGGCCUUCGGGUUGUAAACCGCUUUCGCCUGUGACGAAGCGUGAGUGACGGUAAUGGGUAAAGAAGCACCGGCUAACUACGUG